rnacentral:rRNA from 1 species
CCGAAGUCCGUAGUCUAACCGCAAGGAGGGCGCGGCCGAAGGUAAAACUGGUGAUUGGGGUGAAGUCGUAACAAGGUAGCCGUAUCGGAAGGUGCGGCUGGAUCACCUCCUUU